CCCCCCCCCCAACAUUAAAGCAUUUAAAAUCAUUUAAAACAUUGAUUAAGGGGUAUGAACUCACUUGUAGAUGGUCGUUUGGAUGAACUGGAUGAUGUAGGAUUGCCAGGUGACAAGUGAUGACUUGUUCACACUCAAAGAUCCUAGUUAACAUAUAAUCACACAUAUAUGUAUUCAAUUAGACUUUAAACCACUAAUUGACAAAGUUAAGACAUCCUAAGGCAUGUAAAAUGUCACACCACAAAACCACGAAUGGCGGAAACGUUCAGGGGUGGAGGACGUCAUGUACAGUAUCACAACAAUGUAAUAUAAUAAACAAGCAACAACAUCAUCCAUUGCAUUAUAAGUAAAGUUUUAAUACAUGUGUGUUCUUUCAUUGUGGUAAGACACCAAAAAUAUACAAUCAAAAUAAAAUAUGAGACUUGUCCGCUCCGUCUUCUCAAAACCUGGCCAUCGUACCUAUCUACUGCUGACCUGAGAAUACAAGUUAUUUUGAAAGCGAGUAUCAGCUUUAAAGCUGGUGAAUUCAUAAGAAAUUAAGUGUCGUUGUCUUGCUUAUGAAAAUCUGCUAUGAAGGCCAUGUAAACCUUUACAUGAAAAUGUUGAGGUAAGUAUGAAAUCCCUAGAAAAACCCUUAUUUUCUAUAAGUAUGAAAUGUAGUCUCCUACCAAGACCCGAAUGUUUUGUUAUAACAAUGUAGUCUUCUACAAAGACCCGAAUGUUUUGUAAGUAAAAUGAUAAUUUUCCUUUGGUUUUUUAGUACUAAAGUACUUAGUCUAACUCAUCGUUUAUGUGAAGGUAUCACAACAUAAAUCAAAGACCCGAAUGUUUUGUAAGUAAAAUGAUAAUUUUCCUUUGGUUUUUUAGUACUAAAGUACUUAGUCUAACUCAUCGUUUAUGUGAAGGUAUCACAACAUAAAUUAAACAGGAAAAAUCACUUAUGUACGUGUUAUCCCGAGGUACUGAGGUUAACACGACGAAUGUAAAUGUUAUCCCGAGGUACUAGGGCUAACAUAAUACAUAUAACCUAAUGAACAUCCGAAGAUUGUCCAC
rnacentral:lncRNA from 1 species